rnacentral:rRNA from 1 species
UACAUAAGGUGCAAGCGUUAAUCGGAAUUACUGGGCGUAAAGCGUGCGCAGGCGGUUUUGUAAGACUGUCGUGAAAUCCCCGGGCUUAACCUGGGAAUGGCGAUGGUGACUGCAAGGCUAGAGUUUGGCAGAGGAGGGUAGAAUUCCACAUGUAGCAGUGAAAUGCGUAGAUAUGUGGAGGAACACCGAUGGCGAAGGCAACCCCCUAAAUCAAAACUGACGCUCAUGCACGAAAGCGUGGGAAGCAAACAGG